rnacentral:misc_RNA from 1 species
GGUCAAAGAAGACUACUGUAUUCAUUGUUGAUGCUAAAACCGGGAAACUUAUCCAGACAUAUAGGUCAGAUGUGUUCCCUUUAGAAGGUGAUACAGAUGUUGGACAAAAUCCAAUUGUACCAAUGGAGGAUGUUGAAGGAUGGGCAGCAGCGCAAGAUACAGACUCAGAAGCUGUUAAUCCACUCUACAUUAUGAGAACCGAUUAUGCUCUAAAAUAUACUUCUUCGAAGACUGGAA